UUAAAGGCUUUGAACAGGAGUAGUAGUAAUUUUAUUACUUUUAGCGAGCUGUUGUGUGGUGUAAAACAGUAGUAAUGAAUUAUGAACUCGCCUUGGGAGCUUAUCUGUAGAAAAACAGAUACGGUUAUUCCGUUAAAAUUUUAAGAGAAAGCUAAUCCUUAGCUUUAAAUAGAGUGGUACCGCGGAGUUUAAACCUUCGUCUCUUUU
rnacentral:ncRNA from 1 species